AAACUAGUUAAAGCGCCUGUACUGGAAAAAUUGGACGGACAAGUCAGUUUCCAGUAGACGAGGAGGAGGAGUAUCGAGAUUUCGGCGGAUACCUCCCGGCCGCGAAGCCCGGUCGUCAUAUCCAAUACUUAAAGCAGCGGAGCAAUCGGCUGUACAACGGUAUGGAUGGGCUUACUA
rfam:Planomicrobium sp. ES2 genome assembly, contig: CONTIG000001